rfam:Pichia guilliermondii ATCC 6260 scaffold_4 genomic scaffold, whole genome shotgun sequence.
GGCAUUGUGGCCGAGUGGUUAAGGCGAUGCACUCGAAUCUUUCGAGUUAUGCAUUGGGAUUUCCCGCGCAGGUUCGAAUCCUGCUGAUGUCG